AGUGAACGCUGGCGGUAGGCCUAACACAUGCAAGUCGAACGGCAGCACAGGAGAGCUUGCUCUCUGGGUGGCGAGUGGCGGACGGGUGAGGAAUACAUCGGAAUCUACUCUGUCGUGGGGGAUAACGUAGGGAAACUUACGCUAAUACCGCAUACGACCUACGGGUGAAAGCAGGGGACCUUCGGGCCUUGCGCGAUUGAAUGAGCCGAUGUCGGAUUAGCUAGUUGGCGGGGUAAAGGCCCCCCAAGGCGAAGAUCCGUAGCUGGUCUGAGAGGAUGAACAGCCACACUGGCACAGAGACACGGUGCAGACUCCGACGGGAUGCAGCAGUGGGGAAGAUUGGACAAUGGGCGCAAGCCUGAUCCAGCCAUACCGCGUGGGUGAAGAAGGCCUUCGGGUUGUAAAGCCCUUUUGUUGGUAAAGAAGUCCAGCUGGCUAAUACCCGGUUGGGAUGACGGUACCCAAAGAAUAAGCACCGGCUAACUUCGUGCCAGCAGCCGCCGUAA
rnacentral:rRNA from 1 species